ensembl:lncRNA
ACAGUUGACCCUCCAGCGACUUGGUUUUGGAACUGUGUGGGUCCACUGAUAUGCACAUUCUGUUCAAUAAAUAUGUACUACAGUACUACACAAUCCGCAGAUGCAGACCCUUGGAUGCAGAGGGCCAGCUGUAAAGUUAUACACGGAUUUUUGACCUGUCUUUCAAGUGUCAGUUGUAAUCUAAAAGAUAAUAAUAUUUUGGCCUUGAUUUAUAGCUACAUAUUUUGUUUUCUACAUAAUUUCAAAGACUAAUGCAUUAACAGAAAAACCAUUGUUUGUUUAAGCUUCUGGACACAAAACAUAUAAAGUUGUAAUUUCGUGACAUCAAGAACUGUAAGAUACGGAGAUGGAGCUGUAAAGGAGCAGAGUUUUUGUAUGUUAUUGAAGUUAGACUGGUGUAAAUUCAAAUUAGAGUGAUACAACGUUAGAAUGUUAAAUGUAAUCCCCAUGGUAACCACAAAGAAAAUAGUGGUAGAAUAGAUGCUAAAGGAAACAAGAAGGGGAUGCAUUUCACUAUGAAAAAUCAACUAAACACGAAAGAAGACAGUAAUGUGGGAAAUGAGAGAUGACGAUACCAAUAAAGAAUAUAGAAAACAGAUAGAAAGACGACAUAAAUAAGCCCCUCCUUGUCAGUAUUUAAGCGUAAAAGGAUUAAACUCUGCAAUCAAAAGACAGAGAUUGGCAGAAUGAAUUUCUUUUUUAAAAAAUGGUCCAACUGUAUGCUGUCUACAAGAGAAUCACUUUAGAUCCAAGGACAUAAAUAGGUUGGAAGUGAAAGGAUGGAAACAUAUUUCAUGCAAAUAGUAGUCAAAGGAGAGCAGGGGUGGCUAUACUAAUAUCAGAUAAGAUAGACUUUAAAUUAAAAACAAGUUACGAAAGACAAAAAAGGACAUACAGUAACAAAACAUUGAAAUACAGCAAGAAGAUAAAACAAUUAUAAGCAUUCAUACACCUGACAACAGACCAUUAAUAUAUAUGAAGCAAAAAUAGAUAGUUCUGUGAUAAUAGUUGGAGACUUCAUUCCCCAAUCUUAAUGGAUAGAUCAACCAUGCAAAAGAUAAGAAUACAGAGGACUUGAACAACACGAUAAACUGUGUCUGUCAGACAUAUUCAGAACACUCUGCCCAAUAACAGCAUACACAUUCUUCUCAAGUACACAUGGGGCAUUUUCCAGGAUAGACUAUAUGUUAGGCCAUAAAUUAAGUCUUGGUAGAUUUAAGAAGAUAGCUGUCAUACAAAGUAUCUUCUCCAACCACAACAGGAUAAAGGUGGGAAUCAAUAACACAAGGAAAACUGGAAAAUUCACAAAUUUGUGGAAGUUAACACAUUCUUAACCAAUGGCUCAAAGAAGAAAUCACAAAGGAAAUUAGAAAAUACUUAGAGGUGAAUGAAAGUACAAACACAACAUACCAAAAUUAGGCAUUGCGGGCUUCCGUGGUGGCGCAGUGGUUGAGAGUCUGCCUGCCGAUGCAGGGGACACGGGUUCGUGCCCCGGUCCAGGAAGAUCCCACGUGCCGCGGAGCGGCUGGGCCCGUGAGCCAUGGCCGCUGGGCCUGUGCGUCCGGAGCCUGUGUUCUGCAACGGGAGAGGCCACAACAGUGAGGGGCCCGCGUACCGGAAAAAAAAAAAAUCAGGCAUUGCCUCAAAAACAGUGCAGUGGGGAAAAUUUAUAGCAAUAAAUGCUUACUUUAAAAAACAAAGAUCUCAAAUCAACAAGUGAACUUUACAAAUUAAGGAACUAGAAGAAGAACAAACCAAACCUAAAGGUAGCAGAAAGAAGGAAAUAGUAAAGAUGAGAGCAGAGGUAAAUGAAAUAGAGAAUGGAAAAUCAAUGACCCAAAAGUUGGUUUGUCAGAAAGGUCAACAGAGUUGACGAGCCUUUAGUUAGAUGAACUAAGAGGAAAAGAAGACCCAAAUUGCUAAAGUUAGAAAUGAAAGUAGGGUCAUUACUACUGACUCUUCAGAAAUAAAAAGGAUUGUGAGAGGACUAUGAAUAAUUGUACACCAACAAUCUGGAUGAAAUGAACAAAUUGCUACAGCCAUAAAACCUACCAACACUAAAUCAUGAAGAAAUAGAAAAUCUAACUAGAACUGUAACUAGUAAGGAGAUCGAGUCAGUAAUAAAAAAAUCUUCCAACAAAGAAAAAUCCUGGACCUGAUGGCUUCUCUAGUGAAUUCUAUCAAACAUUUAAAGAGUUAACAUCAGUAUUUCUCAAACUUUUCCCAAAAAAUUGAGGAGGGAACACUUCCUGAUUCACUUUAUGAGACCAUGGUAACCCUGAUACCAAAGCUAGAGAAAGACACUAUGAGAAAAGAAAACUAUGAACCAAUGUCUUUUAUGAGCAUUAAUGCAAAAAUCCUCAACAAAAUAUCAGCAAACAAUUCAGCAGCAUAUUAAAAGGAUUAUACACAUGACCAAGGAGAAGUAAUUCCUGAAGUGCAAGGGUGGUUCAACAUAUAAAAAUCAAUCAACAGGGGCUUCCCUGGUGGCGCAGUGGUUGAGAGUCCGCCUGCCGAUGCAGGGGACACGGGUUCGUGUCCCGGUCCGGGAAGAUCCCACAUGCCGCAGAGCGGCUGGGCCCGUGAGCCAUGGCCGCUGAGCCUGUGCGUCCGUGAGCCUGUGCUCCCCAGUGGGAGAGGCCACAACAGUGAGAGGCCCGCAAACUGC